AACGAACGCUGGCGGCAUGCCUAACACAUGCAAGUCGAACGAGAUCUUCGGGUCUAGUGGCGCACGGGUGCGUAACGCGUGGGAACCUGCCUUUAGGUUCGGAAUAACUCAGAGAAAUUUGAGCUAAUACCGGAUGAUGUCUUCGGACCAAAGAUUUAUCGCCUUUAGAUGGGCCCGCGUUGGAUUAGCUAGUUGGUGGGGUAAAGGCCUACCAAGGCGACGAUCCAUAGCUGGUCUGAGAGGAUGAUCAGCCACACUGGGACUGAGACACGGCCCAGACUCCUACGGGAGGCAGCAGUGGGGAAUAUUGGACAAUGGGCGAAAGCCUGAUCCAGCAAUGCCGCGCGAGUGAUGAAGGCCUUAGGGUUGUAAAGCUCUUUUACCCGAGAUGAUAAUGACAGUAUCGGGAGAAUAAGCUCCGGCUAACUCCGUG
rnacentral:rRNA from 1 species